rnacentral:tRNA from 1 species
UAGAUGUUAGGAUAAUUAAUCCAUUAAGUUGUGGUCUUGAAGAUAUAUAAUACAUCUAA